rnacentral:lncRNA from 1 species
CAUGUCGGAGGCGCGUGGAGAGCCAGGGUCCGGGCCUGAGGCUGGCGCCCGAUUCUUCUGCACUGCGGGUCGCGGCCUGGAGCCGUUCGUAAUGCGAGAGGUGCGGGCGCGGCUGGCGGCCACGCAGGAAAAAUAUUUAAUGAAAUGCAAAGACUUAUAAAUGAAGAUCCAGGAAGUUGGUUGAAUGCCAUUUCAAUUUGGAAAAAUCUUCUUGAACUUGAUGCAAAAAA